AUUGAACGCUGGCGGAAUGCUUUACACAUGCAAGUCGAACGGCAGCACGGACUUCGGUCUGGUGGCGAGUGGCGAACGGGUGAGUAAUGUAUCGGAACGUGCCCAGUCGUGGGGGAUAACGUAGUGAAAAUUACGCUAAUACCGCAUACGAUCUAUGGAUGAAAGCGGGGGAUCGCAAGACCUCGCGCGAUUGGAACGGCCGAUAUCAGAUUAGGUAGUUGGUGGGGUAAAGGCCCAGCAAGCCCAAGAUCUGGAGCUGGUCUGAGAGGACGAACAGGCACAGUGGAACGGAGAGACGGUAGAUACGCCUACGGAAGGCAGCAGUGGGGAAUGUUGGACAAUGGGCGAAAGCCUGAUCCCGCCAUUCCGCGUGCAGGAUGAAGGCCCUCGGGUUGUAAACUGCUUUUGUACAGAACGAAAAGGUUUCCACUAAUACUAGGAGCUCAUGACGGUACUGUAAGAAUAAGCACCGGCUAACUACGUGCCAGCCGCCGCGGUAA
rnacentral:rRNA from 1 species